UAACCAUCCAGCAUUAAAAUAAAUCAUAUAUUGGCUGGUAAUCAGCAUUCAACAGCACAUCAGUCAUAAAAUAGCUAUACUCAGAGCAAAUCAGCUCUAAAAGAACUGCUCUAAAAGCAGCUGAGAUAGUGCUAAUUUAUUGCUGCUACUAGCAACACUGCUAGAAUUUUAUAUCCACAAACUGGCAACACGGGAUUGAGUUGCACAAGAGCGAAUGAGAGAGCACUAUAAAACAGAAACAAAAGUAAUUCUUACUCUCUCAUCCAUUCAACAAAAACAAACCAGUGGUGAAGAAGAAUGGCAAAAAUCUGAGGAUUUAUUUUGUGCUUGGAAAACUAUAAGAACUGGUUUUGUACCUGUUCUUUUACCAAAUAGACCGUUCCGAAGGCGAACAGAUCCGCGGACAAAUCCGGUGCAAAAAUAUGUGGAAUGAAGUUUCCUUGCUCAUCCUGGAGCAUCCGGCUUGGUGUAACUGGUCCUCGGAGGAUGUGCAGACGAGAAGUGGCGAGGUUUUGGUCAUGUUUUGACUAAAAAAUCGGAACAGGUCGAACCGAGACUUUGUCGGAGACGAUGCCGGAUACCUUCAGCGUUGGACAUUGCGGAAGGAUUUAAAGUCUGGAAUGUCCAGUUCUGUGCUUCAAGACCAGCAGUAAUGGAGUGUUCGCUAGGUUGCAGGUCCAGGAGAAGUAUUGGCCGUAAAAAGUUAUGCCGUCGAGCAUCAUUUUGAUUUAGUGUUGGAUGAUUCUAAAUAGUGCAUUAAUUAUCGAAUAAUAAAUUGAUUUGAGUUGUACAAAGUCUAUUUUUCUUCGACGGUGGAAGAUUUUUUCAGAAACAUGAAAGAAAAAUGGAUUUAGACCAUGUUCGUGAUCGGGUGAAACAUCAUCUCGUGUUGUGCAAUCACGUAUGUGAAGCACUUCCCAAACAGGCGAGACGGAACGGGCUCAGGAACCAGCGAAAUCUACUGAAAACAGCAUGAUCAAUAUCCCAAACAAUGUACCUCAGAACAAAAAAUCACAGUCAGUCAGCUGUGUCGGCAACGUAGAAUGUAAACAAUCCGAAAAUAGAAAUGGCUAGAAGGAGAAAAGCAAGAGAGAGAGCAUUUUUUUGCUCUCUCUAUUUUUGACAUUUUGCAGGGGUGGGACACUAACAGUAGGGGCCCUGCACUAAAACAGAAAUAUAAAGUCCAAAUCCAGCUGCAAAUGCGCUGUAAAAGCGCUUUUGAUGCAGAUGUGAAAACACUUUAGCUUUUACCCGCAGCUGGAAAUGCGCUGUUAGUGCUAUACAGUGACUAAAUUUAGUGCUGAAUGGUUACUUGGGUAG